AAUAGGUAAUGACAAAUAACCCCUCAAACAUAAGUAAUCGGGUGAGAUGCAUUAAUCGGUCAAUCAAUUAUAACCCAUUUAUGUGGAAAUGUUUUUUAACCAAAAUCAUAUACAGACUUCAUAACCCUAUUUUCGAUUCAUCCCUAAUUUCGAAAUUCUCCGUCGGUCUUGUACCAGGCAGUCUCGUAUAUCUCAAAACUUGUAUGGUUUGUAAAUCAUGUUGCCGAUUACCCAUUCCAAAUAAUUCCGUCAUGGCGAAGUGGAAGAACAACAUCACCGGAGACAUACCUUAUUUUCUUUGGAGAAUAUAAAAGCGAGGUAAGGGAUUAUUUUGGAUUUAUUGUUCUGAGUUUUUCGUUAAGUGUUAGACAACAAUAUAUUAGAUUUCGUCUACGAGUUUUUAGGUUUUAUUCCUCCGCUUCUUUCGUUUAAUGAUGUUCUCCAAGAACAGUUGACGAAUAUUUCAUCACAUGUAGAUUGUUUUGGAAAAUUAUACAAGCUGUCUGGCCUCCGAUUACUUUGUUUUAUUUAAUGAUCUAGAGUACCUAUUGAUUAUCAAUUUUCAGAUUAUCGAGGGAUGACUUCUUCGAGUCUUUAGGUAAAUCCAGAACGCGGCGGGGUUUAGUUAUCCUCUCGCCUGCGUAGACCGGGUGGUAGGGAUUUUCGGGUAGAUCGGGAGAGAUGGGCCAUCAUAAAAUCGGUAAGGAUUUAUCCAAAUAAAUUAUAACCCAAUAUAUAUCCGAAAUAUUUUAUCCGGAUAUAACCGGGUAAUUAUUCGGAUAUAACUAAUUCGGUUAGUAUAACCGAAAGUAGAUACCAUUCAGUUUAUACUAUUAGGUUAUAUUAUUUUACCGUUUAUACCCAUUACUCUAUAAUUUCACAUUAAUUAUAUGGAUUUCGAUUAUCGAAAAAUUAUCCUGAAAUCGCUUAAAUAGAAGAGAUAUUGAUAUCGAUUUUUGGUAAUUCGAAUUUCUAGAAUUCCACCGACUUUUUAAAAUCUUAUUAUGGUCAAAUUUUUUUGUAUAUAAUUAAUUAAUUAUUAACGGUCAAAUCUAUAUUAAUAAAUUUGUUACAUUUAGUUUAAUACAAUGUGUGAAAUACGUUAUGUGAAGGUAUUGGUAAAUUUGACAAUGGGCUUUUAUUAAAUAAAUUUAUUGUAUUAGAAUAAUUUUUUCAGGUAUAGUCUUUUGACUGUGGCACUCUGCACACGUCAAUCAUCUAUCGAGGGCAAGUCUGUGCACGUCUGAUCGACGUCAUUCAUGUCUCCUUCUGCAGCUUUUUCGGAGGAGGUUAGUCAGUGAAAAAAUCUGAGCGUGGUUUAACUUCUGUAGGUUUAUCAAGGUUAGACUGUCGAUUAACUUGGUUUAAAUUUUUAGUCACCAUCUACAUCUUUUUCUUCCGACAACACUGGUUUAAAUUUUUAGUCGGCCUCUACAUCUUCUCUUCAUCGUUUACUCUUUUACUCUUUCGUUAUCUGUCGUCGUAACAAUCUGAUGUUCUGCAGGUGACCGACCCAUCUGAAAAUGGAUACUGAUCAUGACUACAUGAAAUCCAUCAAAUAGGAUUCUGCAGGUGCCGUCGUAACCAGAUGUUAGUAAUCCGGACCCGUCUCUUUAAAAACGGUGCAAAUCUUGUGAAAAUCCUGUGAAAACAAGGUAAAGAUUCGGCGCGUUAAUAUCAGGUUUAAUACUCGGAUUACUUUGUCUAUUUAAAACUCUUUAAUGCUCUGUAAAAAUCUGUUUAAAUGACUUUGUAAAAAUCUGACACAUUUAAUAUUUUGUAAAAAUCUGCUGACACUCAAACCGACCAUCUAUCCAUUACAAGUUUAGCUUUAUAAUUUAUUAAUUUUUUACAAAUAUCAAGAAAAUAUGAUUAUAUUUACACACUAUACAUACUUGUCAAUCCAAAUAAUCAAAUGUCAAAAAUUAAACAUCUAAUGUCAAUCAACUGUUGACAUGUCAGUAACAAUUUUUAUACUUAUUCGAUUUGUUGUGAUGACAUGGACAAAAAAAUUUACAGAUUAAGAAAAAAUUACAGACAUUGAUCGAGAAUUUAAAUUUCAGAGUAGAGAAAUUUACAUGAAAACGAUUGUAUGAUCACGAUUCCAUCAUGGCAUAAUAUGACACGGAUUGGUGCACUAACCACGGAUUGUGGUGUCCAAUCCGUGGUGAUUAUAAAAAACAAAAAUAUUUACCAUUCUUAAAG
rnacentral:lncRNA from 1 species